CCACAUCUCCUCUUGCCGUAAGGACAGUCAGACUGGGUUAGGGCUCGCCCUAAAGACCUCCUUCUUAGUUAGUUAUCUCUUUACAGACCUUGUCUCCAAAUACAGCCACGUUUUGAGGUCCUGGGGUUAGGACUUCGGCAGGAACUUGGAGACGCAACUCAGACCGAAGCCAGCCCCAGCUGAGCACAGAGCUCGUGACAUGAUGCGCCAUGCUGCCCUGAGGUUCCCAACCGGGUCUCUGCUGAGCUCCAGAUCCAUCGCGGGGGAAGUUCUAAGGCAGGCUCUGCGGCUCCUGGCAGGAACAAGAAAGCAGAUUUGAUGGACGCGUGUGCAGCGUGCGUAGCCGUCCCUCCAUGCUGUCCUCCACACACGGGGUGACAUGGGAGGCAGGCGGCCUCCUCCGUGCUCAGGAGGAAUUUGUGGCACUUUGCGUCCUCACUGCCCUGCUCCCCGCAGCAGCACCCAGAGCUGUCGUUGGGUUCUGAGGCUGCUGAACUGUGAGUGAGUAAAGAGCUUCGAGCCGCUGAAGCUCACUGGCUCUCGGCUCUGAGACACAGGGAUGUUCAGACAGGCGGCCUCUGUUCUGGGGGUGCUGGAAGGGCCCAGAUGGCGUGUGGCAGUCAGCCAGGCCUGGGGCCAGCACCGAUUCUGCCACCCAGGAGUCCCCAAGCCUCCCUGAGCCUGGUUCCUCUUCUUAAUGCCAGGGCGAGCAGGUCUCUCCUGCAUGGUGAUGGAGCCCUAAUGAACAGCACUCAAGGACUCUCGGCCAUGUGUGCUGGGCGCAGGGCCCGCUGUGCAGGAGCCCGUGGACGGACGUGUGCCCUUCUCCCCCAGCUUGGAUAACUGAAGCCCAGAGAGAGACCGCUCCCCAACCUUGCCCUGCCUCUUAGCAGAGUCCAGCUCUGCACGCACACAGCUCGCAGCUCCCUUCCUUCGUGGGGUGAAAUCCAAAUUCUUUGUAGACACGGGCACUGUGCACACGUGAAAUACCUGUGUUCUUCGGCACCAGAUUUUUCAAAAGGUGACUUAAGAAACAGCUCACAAAUACAAAGACAAUGGGGAAGGGAGGCGUUUUCAGAUUAGACAGAAAC
rnacentral:lncRNA from 1 species